AACGCUAGCUACAGGCUUAACACAUGCAAGUCGAGGGGAAACGACAUCGAAAGCUUGCUUUUGAUGGGCGUCGACCGGCGCACGGGUGAGUAACGCGUAUCCAACCUGCCCACCACUUGGGGAUAACCUUGCGAAAGUAAGACUAAUACCCAAUGAUAUCUCUAGAAGGCAUCUGAAAGAGAUUAAAGAUUUACCGGUGAUGGAUGGGGAUGCGUCUGAUUAGCUUGUUGGCGGGGUAACGGCCCACCAGGGCAACGAUCAGUAGGGGUUCUGAGAGGAAGGUCCCCCACAUUGGAACUGAGACACGGUCCAAACUCCUACGGGAGGCAGCAGUGAGGAAUAUUGGUCAAUGGACGAGAGUCUGAACCAGCCAAGUAGCGUGCAGGAAGACGGCCCUAUGGGUUGUAAACUGCUUUUAUAAGGGAAUAAAGUGAGAGUCGUGACUCUUUUUGCAUGUACCUUAUGAAUAAGGACCGGCUAAUUCCGUGCCAGCAGCCGCGGUAAUACGGAAGGUCCGGGCGUUAUCCGGAUUUAUUGGGUUUAAAGGGAGCGUAGGCCGGAGAUUAAGCGUGUUGUGAAAUGUAGAUGCUCAACAUCUGAACUGCAGCGCGAACUGGUUUCCUUGAGUACGCACAAAGUGGGCGGAAUUCGUGGUGUAGCGGUGAAAUGCUUAGAUAUCACGAAGAACUCCGAUUG
rnacentral:rRNA from 1 species